CCCUUAGAUGUUCUGGGCCGCACGCGUGCUACACUGAGUAAUUCAAUGGGUAAGGGAACGCUAGAGCAUUACCUAAUCUUGAAAUUUGCUCGUGAUGGGGAUCGACGGUUGCAAUUUUCCGUCGUGAACGAGGAAUACCUUGUAGGCGCAUGUCAUCAUCAUGCGCCGAAUAGGUCCCUGCCCUUUGUACACACCGCCCGUCGCUCCUACCGAUUGAGUGAUCCGGUGAGGCUCUGGGACCUGGACGGAAAGAGCGUUUCGCUUGUUCUGUUUGGGAAACUUGGUCGAACCUUAUCAUUUAGAGGAAGGAGAAGUCGUAACA
rnacentral:rRNA from 1 species